CUAGAUCAGUAGGCCUCGAUCCUACAAAAUAUUAAUUAACAAUUAAACACCCAAGCCAGCGGACUUUGAUCU
rnacentral:tRNA from 1 species